ACAAUCACCAACCAAUGCACUAGUUCACAAAUAGCAUAAGGAAAUGCUAAGGGUAUAUAUGGGAAGUUCAUCUAGUGCAAAGUGUACAAGGUGCAGUAUGAUACAAAUGCAAUGCUAAAAGAGACCGAGUUCAACUCAAAAUGAAGAAAGCUCUUGAGGGGUCAAACCAAUCUAGGAAAAGCUCCGUGGCAAAAGAAGAACCACCAAGGAUCCCAAUUGAGUACCAUAGAAAUGAUACCAAUUGAAGGAUCAAAAAUUGGUAUCACUUGAAGAAGAUGAACUCAAAUUGAAAAUGUGAUACCAAUUAAAAUAUCAAAAGCGGAUAUCAAAAACCAAAGAAAGCCCUGGUCCAAACUCUGCCUCGAAUGAAGCCGAACUCCCCCUCAAUCAAAGACAUCUUAGCAAAAGAAAAAACUAGGAAAAGAAUGGGCAAAAGAAAAACUCCAAAUCAAAAGGCAGAGAAAAUCCAAGAAAGGAGCAAAAAUGCAACCCAAAGACAAAGCAAGCCCAAAAAC
rnacentral:lncRNA from 1 species